UAUAAUAAACUAGAGACUACGCAAUUGUAU
rnacentral:piRNA from 1 species